UACGUAGGGUGCGAGCGUUGUCCGGAAUUAUUGGGCGUAAAGGGCCCGUAGGCGGCCUGUCGCGUCUGCUGUGAAAUCCCGGGGCUUAACCCCGGGCGUGCAGUGGAUACGGGCUGGCUGGAGGCAGGCAGGGGAGAACGGAAUUCCUGGUGUAGCGGUGAAAUGCGCAGAUAUCAGGAGGAACACCGGUGGCGAAGGCGGGUCUCUGGGCCGAUACUGACGCUGAGGAGCGAAAGCGUGGGGAGCGAACAGG
rnacentral:rRNA from 1 species